rnacentral:rRNA from 1 species
AUUGAAACGCUGGCGGGCAGGCUAACACAUGCAAGUCGAACGGUAACAGGAGGAAAGCUUGCUUUUCUUGCUGACGAGUGGCGGACGGGGUGAGUAAUGCUUGGGAAUCUGCCUUAUGGAGGGGGAUAACUACGGGAAACUGUAGCUAAUACCGCGUAAUAUCUUCGGAUUAAAGUGUGGGACCUUCGGGCCACAUGCCAUAAGAUGAGCCCAAGUGAGAUUAGGUAGUUGGUGAGGUAAAGGCUCACCAAGCUGACGAUCUCUAGCUGGUUUGAGAGGAUGACCAGCCACACUGGAACUGAGACACGGUCCAGACUCCUACGGGAGGCAGCAGUGGGGAAUAUUGCACAAUGGGCGCAAGCCUGAUGCAGCCAUGCCGCGUGAAUGAAGAAGGCUUUCGGGUUGUAAAGUUCUUUCAGCGAUGAGGAAGGUGCUAUAUCUAAUAGGUGUAGCAAUUGACGUUAGUCGCAGAAGAAGCACCGGCUAACUCCGUGCCAGCAGCCGCGGUAAUACGGAGGGUGCAAGCGUUAAUCGGAAUAACUGGGCGUAAAGGGCACGCAGGCGGUUGUCUAAGUCAGAUGUGAAAGCCCCGAGCUUAACUUGGGAAUUGCAUUUGAGACUGGGCGACUAGAGUCCUCUAGGGAGGGGUAGAAUUCCACGUGUAGCGGUGAAAUGCGUAGAGACGUGGAGGAAUACCGAAGGCGAAGGCAGCCCCUUGGAGAGAGACUGACGCUGAGGUGCGAAAGCGUGGUUAGCAAACAGG